UUCUAAGAUCUGUAUGCUGAUUCAGCACCCACCAUGGAUAAAGCUGGGAAACAGCGUGAGUCUGUGGCUUGCAGCCUUGUGCUGGUGUUUAAAGAGGCAGCCUGAUUCCUGAGAGCUUUACAACAAGAAGUGGGAUGAUCGGAGACAGGACUCAAUUUGCACUCAAUCGAAUAGCUUCGCUUUUUGAUUUCCUAUGAGCCUCUGGGACACCGUCUUGCUCUGCAGCUGCCAAAGGUGUCCCUGAGGACGCAACACCGAGGAGGAAGCACGCUGAAGCAGCGCCCAACGCAACUGACCGGACUCAGAAUGCCACCUCUUCCAAAGCUGCCUCAUUGCUAGUGAUACUCCAGCCACAGCCAUAGCCAGGAGACUGUCCCAACUCUGGGGGAUCAGGGCCCAUCUCAACUUCUGAGAACAAAUUGACCAUCCAAAUGAAUUCCCAAGAACUGAUUGAAUGUCCAAAUUAACUUCCGAGGACAGAGGGAUCAUUCCAUCUGCUGCCAUUACAGAUGCCGCAGAAACACCAGAGAAAAGGAACGACCUCAAUUCAUCAACACUGGAGCUGUCUGCAACUGCCAUGGCCAUGAGAAACGGAUAUCCACUCACUAGCUCCCAGUAUCCUCUCUCCACCACCACAGCUGCAGAAGGAAAAAAAGAUGAAUUUGAUUCCAAAGUUUAAAAGUAAAAAUAGAAGAAUCAGUUAUGCGGGAGGGAGAGGAGAGGCUGGGAGCCUGAAUACCUUCUACCCUGCCACCUCCGCCAUCUUGUAAAGUUUGGAGUUUUCCAAAGUUAAAGGGUGCUGUGGAAAGGGGAAGGACCUGCCUGACUUUUCUGAAACCAAUAUCACGCUGUCAGGCUCCUGCCUUCAACUGUUUUGUGUUGAAGUCUGUUCAGUAUUGUUGCUCACUGUGUUUGAUUUAUUCAGCCUGGGUGUGGACUCAUGGGAAGUGAUCUAAGUUGUACAGCUGGAACAUGGAGCAGACCUUUUAAAGCUUUGUGAAUAAAACCUGUUACACACA